GACGAACGCUGGCGGCGUGCUUAACACAUGCAAGUCGAACGGAAAGGCCUGCUUUCCCUUGUGGAUUGCGGGUACUCGAGUGGCGAACGGGUGAGUAACACGUGAGUGAUCUGCCCCCAACUUGGGUAUAAGCCUGGGAAACUGGGUCUAAUUCCCGAUAGGACUGCAGGGUGGUGCCUGUGGUGGAAAACGAUUUUCUAGUGGUUGGGAUGAGCUCGCGGCCUAUCAGCUUGUUGGUGGGGUAAUGGCCUACCAAGGCGGCGACGGGUAGCCGGCCUGAGAGGGUGGACGGCCACAUUGGGACUGAGAUACGGCCCAGACUCCUACGGGAGGCAGCAGUGGGGAAUAUUGCACAAUGGGCGGAAGCCUGAUGCAGCGACGCCGCGUGGGGGAUGACGGCCUUCGGGUUGUAAACUCCUUUCGACCGCGAGGAAGCCACCUGGUUGGAAGGGUGGUGACGGUAGUGGUAGAAGAAGCACCGGCUAACUACGUG
rnacentral:rRNA from 1 species